UCUCGGCCCGGCUCCUCUGGGCACACAGCCUCAGGCUCCAUCACCCAGAGCCCCACCCCCCGCCGUCCUUGGCUCUGGAACCCGGAUGCUCAAGCCUCUGGACGUUGCCUUUACUCCUCAGCCGCUCUUCCAGCCAAGUCAAGCGUAAAACAAAACAAAAGCAGUCCCCCACUACUGUCCGAAAUUGCCCUGCAGUUCUGUGACACAUGCUUUCCUAGCAGUUACCUUCACCAGGACCACAUCCGAAGCCAGACCCACUGAUGAAUGGACCUCUCUGAAUCUGCAUGACCAUCACGGGACCCUGCCUGGGGGGAGGGGGUGGUACUCACCGCGCUGCCAUUAGGGUGGCUCGGGUCGUGUGCCCAUCCGGGAGCACAGCCAGGUCGGGAAGCGGGCUGCAAACCAGGCACUCGACCCGGUCGACCAGGCAGGAGGGAGAUGUCAGCUCCUCGAUUUUCCAGACCAGAACCGAAGCU